UUUGAACAUCGUUGAUUUUAUUCUUUCUUUUUAGACAUCAUUGCAGGAUUUCCCAGUAACAGUGAGUGUGCAGGAAGUCAUGUCUCCUACUCAGGGUGCAGAAGAGCCAAUUCCUUCAAAAGUUCAGUAAAUGUUUAAAAGGUUCAGUUACAUCAAUCCCAAGUGGGUCACAUCAUCCCAACCCAAAGCAGGACCUAGUACAGAAUCCUCAGACCAAGGGGAGACAUCUACAAUGUCUACAUCAGAUAAGGUAAGAAAAUAUAACGUUUUACUAAUGUUUGGAUUCUUUAAAGUCCUAACCACUACACUAUGACUAUAUUAAUUCAUUUUAAAAAUGAGCCAUGAAAGUACAGAUUGUUAUCCUAAUAUUUCAUCAGGAUAGUGCCAAUAAUGAUCUGAAUAUUAAACCUGCCAAAUUAAUGUUUUCUAAUUUUUAACUACUUAAAACACAAUGCCUGGCAUCGAAAUAUCUUUAUUUUUGUUGUCUAUUUGAUUUUCUUUUAAAGGACCACUAUAGGCACCCAGACCGCUUAAGCUCAAGUAAGUGGUUUGGGUGCCAGGUCCCCCUGGUGUUAACCCUGCAGUUGAAAACAUAGCAGUUUCAAAGAAACUGCUAUGUUUAAACUGCAAAGUUAAUCCAGCCUCUAGUGGCUGUCUCCCUGACAGCCACUAGAGGCCACUUACGCGAUAUAUACACGGAGUAAAUUGCACUUAUUUGACGCUAGACAUCCUCACGGAGUCCAGUGACAAAAAAGAUCCCCGUAGGAAAGCAGUGAGUAAUGCUUUGCUUUUUGGCGGGUUUGAAUGUGCAUGUGCCUCUGGCCGCGCAUGCGCAUUCGGCUCCACUCGGAAGCUGACGUUGAUGGAGGAGGAGAGGUCACCAUUGCUGAGGGAGCCCAACGCUGGAUUAAGGUAAGCAAAUAAAUGGCUAACCAUUUAUUCGCCGCGGAACGGAUGUCUAGUCACCUAAACGGUGACUAGGGCUCUAUAGCGUUAGGAAUAUGGAUAGCUAUCUUUAAUAUGGAUAGUUUGUUACAAUCUUUUUAAUUUCAGAGAAAGAUUUUGCUUUCUGUGCUAAUCGCCUUACUAUUUGUUAUUAUCACCCACCAUUAUCAAUUUAUGAAGCAUAUAUUGCCUGUACAACUAGAAGUAUAUGUGGUUAAUAGGAGCACAAAAGCAAGCUUUCUGUGCUGUGAAUAUGUUCAGUAAAAAUAACAUAAAUGUGUAUCAGGGGAUCUGAUAUAACCAGAGGACACAGGCGUUUCUUUGUAGGUGUGCUAGCAUAACAAACAGUCCUGGAUUUAGGCAUUUUCUAUACUGUACCAAUGGCGAUAGUAACAUAAUCUGGGCAAGAGCUGUGCCUUGAGGACUAGGUCGGGACCCACUCUUGAAGACUAUUAUUUAUUGUUAUGUCUAUGUCUAUAUUAGAUUAGUAAAAUAUUAAUUUAAAACUUUAUUUCUAAUUAAUUGUUUUUCAGAUGAAAAGUUACACCGACAAAUAAUCUUCUCCUCUGCACCAGGACACAUCUUUUCCCGGACUGGCCAUUAAUGCAAUUAUUGUAAAUAGGAAAUGAAAAAGGGAAGAAAGUGAGAACAAACAAGAUUGUGUUCACAAAAAAAGAAUAUCUGAUAAAAACAACUGCAAUUAUCUUCUCCUCCCAUUCCGUUUUGAGUCAUCACUUGAACAUCCAGUAGAGUGUGGGAGACUAUUAUUUACAAAAAAAUAUUAUUACUUUUAUAUUACUUUAAAGGACCACUCUAGGCACCCAGACCACUUCAGCUUAAUGAAGUGGUCUGGUUGCCAGGUCCAGCUAGGGUUAACCCAUUUUUUUUAUAAACAUAGCAGUUUCAGAGAAACUGCUAUGUUUAUAAAUGGGUUAAUCCAGCCCUCAAAUCCUCUAGUGGCUGUCUCAUUGACAGCCGCUAUAGGCGCUUGCGUGAUUCUCACUGUGAAAUUACAGUGAGAACACGCAAGCGUCCAUAGGAAAGCAUUGUAAAUGCUUUCCUAUGAGACCGGCUGAAUGCGCGCGCAGCCAGCCGAAAGGGAGGAGAGGAGGAGGAGAAAGGUACGUUUUAACCCCUUUCCUCUCCCCAGAGCCCGGCGGGAGGGGGACGAGUAUGUUUUCCUGGCACUAUAGUGGUCCUUUAAAUAAUAACUUCAAAAACAAAUUGGAAGAUAAAUCCACAUCAUAUAGUAUAAUAUCGUUGUGGUCUCCCAUAAAUGGAAUCCGUUAAAGGUGUGGAAUAAAAAACGUAUGACCUCAAAUAGUUGUCAUUUGUCGAUCUAAUUGUAUAUGCUGACACCAGGUGACGUACAUGUUGUGUAUUAUGUAACAUUUUAUUUUUAUUAUGGUCCCCUUUCCUUUUUGCUUUCUGUAUCCC
rnacentral:lncRNA from 1 species